rnacentral:rRNA from 1 species
GGCUCAGGACGAACGCUGGCGGCGUGCCUAAUACAUGCAAGUCGAACGGUCUUUCUAUGGAAGCUUGCUUCCACUGAGAAGAUAGUGGCGAACGGGUGAGUAACACGUGGGUAACCUGCCCAUAAGAGGGGGAUAACAUCCGGAAACGGGUGCUAAUACCGCAUAGUUUUCUUGAUCGCAUGAUUGAGAAAGGAAAGACGGCCUUUGUGCUGUCGCUUAUGGAUGGACCCGCGGCGUAUUAGUUAGUUGGUGAGGUAACGGCUCACCAAGACGAUGAUACGUAGCCGACCUGAGAGGGUGAUCGGCCACAUUGGGACUGAGACACGGCCCAAACUCCUACGGGAGGCAGCAGUAGGGAAUCUUCCGCAAUGGACGAAAGUCUGACGGAGCAACGCCGCGUGAGUGAAGAAAGGUUUUCGGAUCGUAAAACUCUGUUGUCAGAGAAGAACAAGUUGGAGAGUAACUGCUCCAGCCUUGACGGUAUCUGACCAGAAAGCCACGGCUAACUACGUGCCAGCAGCCGC